GACGGGGUUUCACCCUGUUCGCCAGGAUGGUCUCGAUCUCCUGACCUCGUGAUCCGCCCGUCUCGGCCUCCCAAAGUGCUGGGAUUACAGGCUUGAGCCACCGCGCCCGGCCUUAGCCCAGGUUUUGAUACAUUUCACUUCCUUGACUUUGCCAUCUGAAGCCAGAGACAGGAAGUCGUCUGAGCUGACAGGCAUUUUGGACUACACCUGUUGGUCUGGAUUGCAGCUGGAAUUGGAAGGGAAAUGCAUUUCCAUUGAAGGAAGAAGUAUGAGAGUGAGCAGGCAGGUGUCAGCAGAGCUCAAGAGAAUAACGUCAAGUGGACGAUGACUUACAGGCAGGAGGAGGCAGAUCAGCUAGGCAGAUGUGCAGAAGUUAAGUGUGGUUUCAUGCAGAAACUUCCAAGUGGAUUCAAGAGCCAAAGACUUCAAGAAGUUGGUGUAAUUGUCACUUGGAAUAUGUUUGUAUUAAUUCAGAUCAUACCUACCAAUAAUAUGGAGGAUUCAGAGAGAGGAGUUCCGGAGACGUGGGUCUGAUUCCAGCUUUGCCUCCUGCUAAAUAUCUAAUCCUGGGCAAGUCAUGUAGCCUCUGGGUGUUCCAGUCGGGCCACCUUUAAAAUGGGAAUAAUUCUGUCUACUUCACUUAUCUCAUACAGCCAGGUGAGGACAUUCACAUUUUGGCAUAUAAUGUAAUAAGGUUGUAGAUGAAGCGUUUAUUAGGAUAAUGUCUUGGCUAAUAGGUUGGGCAGACCAGUUGACAUCCUCAGGGUAUCAUUGGAAGAACCCGAAGGUCUUAUCCAAGUGUGUUUCCCACCAAUAAUUCUCACAUUUCCACCUUUGGAUCUUUUGUUAAGGAUCCUGUGGGAAACUAGAUAUCAUAGGUUAUUAACCCCAUGAAGUCACGUUUCUAUUUCAAUCUACUUAUUUCACAUUUUUGUUAAAACUUCUGAAGCAAAUGAAUUUCUUAUCGAAUUGAUUUUAGACUGCUAUUAGCUCAGAUUCACUUCGUGAGUUAGAAUGCCUCUUAGAAAUAUAACACCCAGGGAAAAGCUUCCGGGUGAGUCUUUCUUUUUUGAUAGCAGUUGGCUGAUCCCCAUGAACAUGGACUUCAUCUUCUUUAGAUGCUUUAGGACAUGCGGCUAUGCAGUUAGGGAACUGCGAUCUGAGGCAGGGGAGUGUAGGAAAAGUAAGUGAUCGUGGGGAGUGGAGUCGCAAGACAGGGUGGGGGAAGGAUGGUUCUGGAGCACUUCGUGUUCCAUCCCAGCCCGAUGAGGCCCAGGAGAACUUUCUCCAGCCGAGGAGGCCCUGGUGAACUUUCUCCAUGUGGGGAGCUGUCGAGAACUUGAGCUUCC
rnacentral:lncRNA from 1 species